rnacentral:rRNA from 1 species
CCUACGGGAGGCAGCAGUGAGGAAUAUUGGUCAAUGGGCGGAAGCCUGAACCAGCCAAGUAGCGUGCGGGAUGAAGGCCCUACGGGUCGUAAACCGCUUUUGCACGGGGAUAACACCCUCCACUUGUGGAGGUCUGCAGGUACCGUGCGAAUAAGGGCCGGCUAAUUCCGUGCCAGCAGCCGCGGUAAUACGGAAGGCCCGAGCGUUAUCCGGAUUCAUUGGGCUUAAAGGGAGCGUAGGCGGGCGUUCAAGUCAGCUGUAAAAUCGCGCGGCUCAACCGCGCCCCGCAGUUGAAACUGGACGCCUUGAGUUCACAACAGGCAGGCGGAAUUCGUGGUGUAGCGGUGAAAUGCUUAGAUAUCAAGAGGAAUACUCAUUGCGAAGGCGACCUACUGGAACAUUACUGACGCUCAUGCACGAAAGCGUGGGGAGCAAACAGGAUUAGAUACCCCGGUAGUC